rnacentral:rRNA from 1 species
CGCCUCUUGAUAACAUAAGAGGUCCUGCCUGCCCAGUGACAAAAUUCAACGGCCGCGGUAUCCUAACCGCGCGAAGGUAGCAUAAUCACUUGUUCUUUAAAUAGGGACUCGUAUCAACGGCAUCACGAGGGUCACACUGUCUCCCCCCUCCAAUCAGUAAAACUGAUCUCCCCAUGAAAAAGUGGGGAUACCAUUAUAAGACGAGAAGACCCCAUGGAGCUUUAAACCCAGUAGCAACUUAGCAAAGCUACAAAACCAUGCUAACGGUUUUAGGUUGGGGUGACCCCGGAGUAAAAACUAACCUCCAUAACGAAAAGAUUUAAAUCUUUACCCAAGAACUACAACUCUAAGAAUUAGGAAACUAACGAAUUGACCCGUCAUCGAUCAAUGAACCAAGUUACCCUGGGGAUAACAGCGCAAUCUACUUCAAGAGUCCAUAUCGACAAGUAGGCUUACGACCUCGAUGUUGGAUCAGGGUAUCCAAGUGGUGCAGCCGCUACUAAAGGUUCGUUUGUUCAACGAUUAAAACCCU